AAGAAAGGCUCGAUAGAAGGCUUGGCAUGUGAGUGAGACAGGCAGAGGAAGCCCUGUGCACACAGCCAUGCUACUGUGGGAGCCAGGAAGCGAUGCCGGGGAAGGCAGCUGUAGGUGUCACCGCCAUGAGAUCUGUACCGUCAGGUGCUGUCAGGUGGAAAUGGCAGGCGCCUAAUACAAUGCUGGCCACACUGAAAAGCACGCACAUACACAAGUCAAGGAGACAAACAGUACUCUAGAGAGGGGAUGGGAUUGGAGCUGGGUGCUGCCCCAGACACACACAGCCCGCGCACCCUCCUUGGAGCACACCGGAACAGCCGGGUUGCACUGUAUCAUGGGCAUCUUGCAAGAAGCCUAAGGCGGUAAAGACACAGCAGUGGCACAACACAGGCCUCUCGUGUGUGUAUUACUGCUGAAGAGGCAGAGCUGGGAUGUGCCCCACGUUCCUGUCACUUCACUGUACUCUCAAGUCUUACAUUUGGACUAAAAUUCCAGAGAAGGAACUGAGUCACACGAGCUCAGUAGUUGAAUGAGUCAGGAGAGAGUGUGUGACUCCUUGGCCGCGGAGCAAUAAUGUGACCCAAGAUGGCCUGGGCAAAAGAGGAGGCGGCUGACAAUUAAGCUGAAUGGCUGGCACAGAAACACAGGGGGUGACAGGCCAACGGCACAGAUCCACGAUUCAGGAGCCAUGACAGAAAUGUGGAGAUCUGUGGAGCUGUCUUAGUCUCCAGGAAAAGCAGGAGGCAGUUCUAGGAAGAAGCUGAAGGAGAUGGAAUAGGAUCGGAUAAGUCACAGGGAGGAAAAACAGCGUGCGGCCUGCAGUGCAGGGCCCUGAGUGUCCUUCACCUCAGGGAGGGUGCUGCUUAGAGCGCUCCUGCUGGGCAGGGCGUGGCUGCCUGCUUCCCACAUCGGGUUCCCUGCUCACUGUCAUCUCCUCCCUGUGCUUUCCUGGACCACCAUACUCAGUGCAUACCAAGGCGUGUCCCGUUCUUCCGUGUACCAUUAUCUGUUUUGC
rnacentral:lncRNA from 1 species